UACCUGCGUAGAGGCGCAGCGCUUAUCAGUAGACCGGAACAGGGUGAUGCCGUUGACCCCGGUUGAAAGGAGGCGUUGCCGAAGUGGCGGUUUUUAUCGAGAACCGGCUGCUGGGAUCAGUGCUGAAAAGGCUGAUACUGUCACGAUAGCUGAUCGUGAUGCGCUACUGCUGGG
rnacentral:ncRNA from 2 species